GGAUACGGUAGCUGAAGAGAGCCGUCCGUUGACAGUUCACUAUGGACGCUGUCAUGGAGUCGCUCUCUUCAGACUCCUAGAU
rfam:Haemonchus placei strain MHpl1 genome assembly, scaffold: HPLM_scaffold0000184